rnacentral:rRNA from 1 species
UGGGGAAUAUUGCACAAUGGGGGAAACCCUGAUGCAGCAACGCCGCGUGAGUGAUGACGGCCUUCGGGUUGUAAAGCUCUGUCUUUGGGGACGAUAAUGACGGUACCCAAGGAGGAAGCCACGGCUAACUACGUGCCAGCAGCCGCGGUAAUACGUAGGUGGCAAGCGUUGUCCGGAUUUACUGGGCGUAAAGGGAGCGUAGGCGGAUUUUUAAGUGGGAUGUGAAAUACCCGGGCUCAACCUGGGUGCUGCAUUCCAAACUGGAAAUCUAGAGUGCAGGAGGGGAAAGUGGAAUUCCUAGUGUAGCGGUGAAAUGCGUAGAGAUUAGGAAGAACACCAGUGGCGAAGGCGACUUUCUGGACUGUAACUGACGCUGAGGCUCGAAAGCGUGGGGAGCAAA